CCUGUCUGCGUAUGCCUUAAAAUUCCAAGUUCGAACGGGUAACAGCGUCUUCGGAUGCUGACGAGUGGCGAACGGGUGAGUAAUACAUCGGAACGUGCCCGAUCGUGGGGGAUAACGGAGCGUAAGCUUUGCUAAUACCGCAUACGAUCUACGGAUGAAAGCGGGGGAUCUUCGGACCUCGCGCGGACGGAGCGGCCGAUGGCAGAUUAGGUAGUUGGUGGGAUAAAAGCUUACCAAGCCGACGAUCUGUAGCUGGUCUGAGAGGAUGAUCAGCCACACUGGGACUGAGACACGGCCCAGACUCCUACGGGAGGCAGCAGUGGGGAAUUUUGGACAAUGGGGGCAACCCUGAUCCAGCCAUGCCGCGUGCAGGAUGAAGGCCUUCGGGUUGUAAACUGCUUUUGUACGGAACGAAAAGACUCUGGUUAAUACCUGGGGUCCAUGACGGUACCGUAAGAAUAAGCACCGGCUAUCUACGUGCCAGCAGCCGCGGUAAUACGUACGGUGCAAGCGUUAAUCGGAAUUAC
rnacentral:rRNA from 1 species